rnacentral:lncRNA from 1 species
GAAUAUUGCUAAAAUCGGCGUAAAACCAAACUCAGUCAGUCAGUCAUUUUCAUACAUAGCCUCAGAACAGCUGGUAUAGUCUUGUUUUGUACUAGUGGCAACCAUUUGCAGUACAGAGUCAGUGGCGGAUCCAGGAUGUGGGAGAAGGGGGUGCACAUAGAUUAUGAAGUUCAAAGGUUAGGGUUCACACACCCGCAACCCCCUCUAGAUAGCUCUGGAUCUGAGUGUUGCCUCCCUUUGGCUCUCUCUGGAACCUGUGUUGGUUGGCUAGUAUUGUGAAUUAUGUUUAGUGGGUUUCAUCAAAACGCUAUAUGUAUGAAUACGACAGCAACACAUAGGUCUUUCCUCCAUGUGAAGUUGAAAUAUAUGUUGGGGGUCUCAUGGUCUCAUCGCUAGUCACACCAUAGACCCGCAUUCAAUUCCCCACAUGGGUACAAUAUGUGAAGUCCAAUUCUGGUGUCCCCUGCCAUGUUUCGCCUGGAAUUUUAUUAAAACUGGCGUAAAUCUAUACUCACUCACUCAAUGUCCUUAGGAAUUCAGCAUAAGCAAGACUACUCUCACUUCUAUAGGUUCGUAUUGUCACAUGAUAUCAGGAUAAUUCUAUCAAAUCAUGGCGCAAAGUAUCACCAUUGUGUAUCGUUCCAUCCCAUGUCAUCACCCCAUAUGUUAUGGACUCUGGAAUUACUAGAUAUUUUGUCAAGGAUUUUGUAUUUCCAUGCAUUCACAAAACAUAUCUCAAUCAAAAGAUCACUCUUUCAUCGACCCUUUGAACAUUGGACCAAAGUAAGCUAGCAUCAAAUUGUUGAUAAUCAUAUAUACACAAGCUUUGUGGUUGUAGUCAUGUCAUGUUGAAUGUUAAAUAAUUUUGAUCUCCUUGAAAAUUCAUUCAUGACUGAUACCAAGAAAUGGUUGUUAACAAUCUUCUUGUCCUGAGACAGAUUUGGAUAUGUACAGAUCUGUUUCAACAAUUCUUCAUAUGAUAUGUAAUCCUAACGAUGACAGUUUGAGAAGAAAUUCAACAGAAAGGAAUUGACUUAAUGUUGUAUUUAUUCCUUGCAAUAGAAAGUCAAGAAUAUUCAUUGGCAUAUGAAAUUUUAGUUUUGUAUGUAGACAACCGAAUCACGGCCUGUGAAAGUUUUGAUAGUACAGUCACCAUUCCAAGCAAUUUACAUAAUGAUCUCCCGAUUUUUAUUUCACAUACAUCAACAUCAGUUUCAGUUUUGUUUUGAUCAUGAAACAACAUUUGUGUGCAUCAGGGGUUAAUUUCUUGAAGCUGUGGUAGUGCAAAGACGAUUAAUACUAUGUUAUAACAUAGACUCCAACCGUCAUACAGUUAUGAUCGUUUCUUGAAAUAGGUCCCUGGAUCUCUCAAUGCAUCACCUUGACUUCCCCUUUCAAGGUCAUAUUCCCUCUGUUAGAAUCCCAGUAUUGCAUAGAUCGAUGCUCAUUCUGUUGAUCAUUGAAUUAUAGAGUCCAGGUUCGAUUAUUUACAGACUGCCCCAAUAUUGCUGAGUGUGGCAUUAAACAACAAACAAAUAGACUCUCAGUGAGUAAUUCUUUUUCAGAAGUUUUCUAAAUAGUAGUUGAUCCAAUAAUACGCCUUUGAAGAAAAUCUUGGUCUUAAGUAUUUGACCCUUACUAAGAGCUGAUUAUUGAGAAUUUUGGAUCGCUGAAUUGUGACAUGUUUUAGGUAGUUUCUGCUUGAAAUACAAAGGUACAAUUACAUCCUCUGUAAUGGCCUUAUUUGGGUGACCUGGGUCCAAUCCGCAAAGCGUUAGGACCUAUCGUAACUCUAUAGUUUACCAUAGGCUUAUGAAUGUCAUAGCGCUACAAAUACUUUGUGGAUCGGGACCCAGAUGGAUCCACAGCCUUGCUACUCAAUGUUUAAGUUUAAGUUUUACGAAUAACACAUCAUUAAAAACAUUUGUGAUUUUUUCUAUAUGGCUAAAAUCUUUGUCAAUACUCAGUUUAUUUGAGGGAAAAAUACAUUUAAAUAUCUGAGAAAAUGUAAGACUAAGCAUUCCGAUUAAUGUGCGAUUUUUGCACGACCCAAUUAAAACAUCAUCAAUUUCAUACUCUAUUAUUUAUAAUGAAUAUUACUGAAUCAGACUCCAUCACUUUCCUGAAUAUAGUAAUGCCUGGUAUAUUGAUAUUAAUGUGAUCUUACAUUACUUCAUUUAGCAAGUUACAAUGAACUGUUAGUUUCUAAUUAUGCAACAUUAGCUUCAUAUUUGUUUACUUUGUUAUGAGGUUUAAAACAUUAUGCAGUCAAGCUCAAGUCUUUUCACUGAUAGACACUUAAUUAUGCAGUCUUGCUUGUAAAUAACUGCAGUUCUGUGAAUUAAAGUUGCUUCAAAUCUUUAUGCAAAACAGGAAAUUUAAAUUCCAUUUCAUUAGUGAGUGUUAUUUAAGCAAUAUGUUUACUGUACAAAUUAUCAACAUCUGUUAAAGCCUUAUUAUUUUCUCAUUGAUGAAGUCUUAAAAUUUAAAUCUUGUUGAGUGUCUCUAGUGUUUGGAAAAGUAUGUUAUGGAUUAUUAUUUUUUUCAGUAAUAUAUAUAUCAUGUUUUUAUUUUCAUUUUUUCUUCAUGCCAAGUCAGUUGAAUAGUGAUAGUGAUUAAAAGCAGUUUUUUUUCAGAUUUAAUUACCUUUACUUUGACUUUAAAAUUAAAUGAAUAAAUUGUUAGUUUCAUUUGUUUAAGAUGCUUUAAAAGCCAUGUUAGAAGAGACAAAUCCCAGUCAAGGAAGGUUCAAUAAUGGUGAUUUAACAAUAUCAUUAUUGUCCGUCAUUUUCUAAGACGAUUUAGAAUAUUCCAGUGUGUGUGACAGCCCAAGGUCAUGUUAACGUUAAAUUGUUGUUUACCAGGUUCAUAUUUCUAUAUUGUUUAGUUGUUGCAUGAGAAUAGUAUAUUUCAACUGUUGAUACUGUUUCUAUUACAACUGGUUCCAUCCUUUCCACAAACAUUGCACAAUUUUAUGGUGGAGAGAUGAACGUGGGAAAUUAUGAUGACAACCUCACAGAAAGGCUAAAAAAUGUUUCUGAUCUUAGUAAAAAAAUUUACUCAAAUCACAAUUUGGAUUACAUACAGUGUUGUGUAGACAAUUUAAGGAAAAGGUGAUCUCUGAAUUGUGUUAUGCAAUUUUAGGUCAAGGUCAAGGUCAAGUUCAAGUUCAAGGUCAAGGUCACUCCAGUUAAGCUUUGUAGGACCAACAAAGGUGUAUAAACUUGUUUCUUGUCAGCAAAGUUCUGAUUUUAUACCAUAAAGCUGAUAAAGAUUCUACAGGAACCACCAAAACCACUGUAAGAAAGUAAGUAAGUUGAGUUACAUUGCCAAAGUGGUCAAUUCUGUCAUGGCAUGUCUUUCAUUGUCAUUAUGUCGACCCAAGUUCUCUCUCCCCCCUUUGUUAUGUAAGUCAAGUGCCUUUGCCUUGACCAUAUUUGGUGAGGUGUUUUGAGCAGUUUAAGCACUUUUUAUCACCGAGAUGACAGGUAAUCAAUGGCAAAUGGUUGCCCUGGUAACAGGGAACCACUAUUGAACAUAUCAAAUAUGUUGUUGCACAUGUGUUUGUCGUGCAGUCCGUUCACCGGUGUGUUGCUGCCUGCACGCUUUAUCACUGAUUGAUCGCAUGAUGUUGCUGAAAGUCGUAGGUGAUUAUUCCUCGUAUUCCUUCAGACAGCUUUUUUAAUGUUGUGUAAAAGAUAGGUAAAACCUGUUACCAUUUCUCUAUCCAAGAGAUCCGAGCACUGUUACCAUGGUUACAGAUGAAAUAGUAAUAACCAAAAUAUUUCUUUCAUUAUUCCCAUGUCUAUGUGUUGUCAUGACGAUAUUGUGCUCAGUUGACUUCUUUUGUUGACUGUGUAUAGUGUAGAAUUUUACAUUUUGACUUUUAAUGAGAUAGUGUUUCAUACAGGACACAGGUACGACGUAAUGUGUUUUUUUAAUUUAAGAAGGAUUUUUCCAAUCUGUAAAUUCUGAACUGUUUAUUUAUCAUAUUAUUAGCUAGAAAUGAUAUGUGAUUCUAGACGACGUAAUCCGCCAAGUGUGAAUGUUCAACCUGAUAUGUUAUAAUGCUGAAUUGACAUUUUUUUUUAAAUCUGGGUUUUUCAUUUUUCUGCAUUCAUUGCCUUAAUACUCAUUUGUGAUUUAAAGAUUUGUGAUUCAAAGUCAUUAAAUAAUUCUGUCUUUGAAUACACAAGUGAUUCAAGUGGUACCAGGAUCAAUUUUUUAGGAGAAUGGAGAAAAUGACUCAAGGCAUAUUUUGAGAUUAUUUUGUCCUAAGUGCUUAAUUAACGGAUGAACAAUUUCAUAAUUAAUCAAACCCAGAUUGUAAGUGUUUUUUUAGAGUAUUAUGUCUCCAGCAUUAAUAUUUUAUCGAUACAAGCAUUUGUAAGCUUCCUUUUGUUCUGUGGCUAUAGAAUUAUUUUUACAAGUGAAAAGUUAGAGCUUUUAGAAGGAAAGCUAGCUCAAGCAGCAUUAGCACAAUCAAGGGGGAGGUAAGUGUGUGAUACUUGUCUCAUUACCUCCCUUUGGUGAAUUGUAAGAUGGCAGUCAUUAACUGGAAGAAAAGUUUGCAAUGUUUAUGUAAAAUUAAAACUGAUGUCUUAAGGAAACAUUAAUUAAAUGUUAAAGUUUGUCAGGGUAAAAACGUGUUACAGUCAGGCUCAAAGGUUAAUGUUUUAUCAAAAGAAAAUGCUUGCGAAAUUCAGUUCAGGUUCUUCUUCAGUUAUUUUCCAUUCCAAAUGGAUGAGAUACUGAUUGUGUUUAUCGUAUACCUAAUAACCUUACUGUCAUGAUGUAUCAUCACUGUCAGGGGGAUUAGAUGUCUUUGCAAAGGUAAGACAAUAAUGUGCUAUGCAGAGUUGCUUCCCUUUGGAAUGACUGAAACCCAGAAUCAUGGGUUCAAAUCCCAGUUUGGACUCAAAAGUGGUAUUGUCUGAAUCCUGCAUACAUCAGACUUUGCUCGCAGGUUUAGAUGAUACACUGAACUACAUUUAUGAUGAACUGAUGGAUAUAAGAAACUGGCUGUAUUUGGGGUGUUUCGGGUUCGUUUAAUUUUUUGUCCUAGCCACUUGAGUCGAAAUGCCUAUAAUAGACAAUGGUUAUAAGGAACUAAAGAUAGUGACUCCUUUGAGAUCUUUAUAGCUGUAGUUCACCAUCACCCAAAUAUAGAUCAGAUGUUGUUUACCCUGACUCACUAGCUCAGUUCUUAUCAUAACCCAGCUACAAAAAUUUACUUGAUUUGAAAACAUGUUUUCCAAGUUAUUGAAACUUCUAUUGAGCAAGUUUUGAUGACCGUACAGUAUGCCAUCAUUUGUAAGAAACAAAAUGGUGGUUUUUAGAAAAGCCUAUCUCAAAGUGUGAGUUACUCCUGAGCUUUAGCUUCCAGAUAUUGAUCUAGUUUCUCCUGUCUCCAUGUUGAUGAUACAGUCAAACGCCAUUGUGUCGUAUUUACGGUUGUCUUUACGUAAAAGCGUUGUCACUGAGUAUCCAUAAUAAGCAGAGAUGCCAACCCUUACGAUUUUAUCGUAUUCGAUAAAAUACACAACACAACACAAAAUACGCGACUAUGAUAGCAGUAAAAAUAUACAAAUUUUUAAAAAUAAUACAUUAAAUUAAAUUAUCAAAUAGCAUACGUACAUUUCAACCACAUUUUAUUCAGUGUCAAGCUAUAUAUGGAUACUUACUACUGAUUUAGGUGAGUGCAAUGUCAAUAACAAGGUCUUAGACUAUAUAUUUACAUUUUUUAUUUAAUAUGAAAAUUCUUUGGAAAAGUGCAUACUAAUUUUGGCCCCAAAAUACUAAUUUUUGCAUCAGGUUUUGGCCAAAAUACUAAUUGGGCUAAAUUAGGGUUGGCAUCUCUGAAUUAGUCAUCCUUUUGAUGUGUUGAACCUCGGAUAACUGGAAGUAUUUUCGUAGGUUCCUUCAACUUCGACGCAAUGGUGUUUAACUGUAAAAUAAUGACUGACACAGUGUUCAACUCAUUUCAUGUUGUGAUAUUUCUGGCAAUAAUUAAAAUGAUUUAAUAUCCUCUUACAUUCUGAUGAGGAAAAAGAAUUGAUUCAUAUCCAAAAAGUAGACAUUAUAUGGAGCAGACCUUCACACUGGAUUCACAUUAAUACUGAUUAAAAGGAUUCUCUUUUGUAUAUUCCUUUGAAAGACCAUAAGAUAAUGGCCUAUUUGUGUCCACUUGAAAAGCCAAAUUUAUGAAAUGAUGACAAGCUUUUUUAAUGUUAGAAAUGUGAUCAUUCAUGUUCAUUUGACUGCAGAAUAACUAGAAUUUUGUCAGUUCUCAGAAAACAGUAAGAACAUUUGUUGGGAAAAUUGCUCCUUAUUUCAUCUUCUUCAGAUGCUCGAAAUAUUUCCUUCUUUCUUCCAUAUGUGGUUGGUGGGGUAGCCUAGAGGUUAAAGCAUUUGCUCAUCACACGAAGACCAGGGUUUGAUUCCCCACAUGGGUACAAUGUGUGAAGCCCAUUUCUAGUAUUCCAGUCACGAUAUUGCUGGAAUAUUGCUAAAAGUGGCGUAAUAUCAUACUGACUCACUCGUUCAUUUCUGUGACAUCUCAGUUACAAAAAUGCUGCAAGUCCAAAACAUACAAGGGUUAUAAGGAAAAAGGAGGCUGAAUUUGUUUACCGUUGACAAUUUUGUUAGUAUUAGAAUUUGAAAUUUGCCUUUUCAUGUGGUCCAAAAUGGUCAUUAGAAUGCCUUGUCAUUAAUGUAUGCAUUAAUUUCAUAAAUAAGUUGAAGUCAGUUUAGAAUGUGUGAAAUUUGUUUUGUCCUGUUCCAAGAAGCAAUCUUAGAGCUAUGACAGUCGUAACUCUCAUACUUUAGUAUGGACUUACCGCCAUCUUAGCACUACCAUAGCUAUGUGGAACAAACCCAUGUCCCUAGACACUCUGUUUGCCUGCCUGCAGACUGUCUGGCAUGAAAUGGCUGUCGAAAAGUAUUUAGCAACAGUAUUCCCCAAAGAAAAGCUCAAACUCCUGUUUCAAGACAAAUCAGCUAAAUUGUUGAAUUGAAAGUGGCAGUUUUGUAUGCCAGCACAGCCUAGAACUGAUUGUCUUAGAAUGUUUUUCAGACUUAAAAAUCACUUGAAAUUUAAGUGUUAUGUUUGAUGUAUUUUGUGUAUAGAUAUUUUUUUUAUAGUAACAUUUUCUUUAAGUGUUCAAAUUUAAGAGUCACCUGCCCAAGUGUACUGAUUGUGACAGAAAAAAUGUUCUGAGAGACAUUUGUGAUUUUUAAAUGUUUUUCUAAGUCCUCCAUGUCUUGGUUUUAAUGAACUUUCAGUUUUAUAAACUGGAAUAUCCAUGCUUGCUGAACAUGGUAAUGAUUUAGAAAAGUACACAAGGGUGUUUUGAGAAUGCGUUAUGACCUACCAUGCAGUCGUUCUAGAUUGCACAUCUGAGACCUGAGGUGCGCCGGGGUCGCCUGGUGGUGAAAACGUUCGCUUGUCACACUGAAGAUCCGGGUUCAAUUACCCAAUGGGUACAAAGUAUGAAGCCCAUUUCUGGUGAUCCCUGCUGUGAUAUUGCUGGAAUAAUGCUAAAAGCAGCGUAAAACUAAACUCACUUACUCCGAGACAUCUGUCACUUCGGGUUUUCCUCAUCCAUUAAGUUGACAUGCUGUUACACAACUGAAAUACUGUUACAGCUGACCUCGAGUCAACUCACUCACUCACUCACUCACUCAAAGGUUGUAAUGUCCGACUGGAAGAACUUCACUCCUGUUUGAAGGAUGUUCCUUUCAUUAUGGCGUUCUGCUGCAGUCUGUACAACCUUGGCAGCUUUAGUGAGCUGUGUAGGAGAUGUCCCUCCAGUGUAAUGUGUGUCUCCACCAGUGUGGCCUAAGUCAGUUGUAUGGGAGGUGCCCCUAUAGUAUUGCCUGUGAGCUGUAUGGUAGGUGCC